GCGGACGUGGUGAAAUUGGUAGACACGCUGGAUUUAGGUUCCAGUGCCGCAAGGUGUGAGAGUUCGAGUCUCUCCGUCCGCA
rnacentral:tRNA from 1 species